rnacentral:rRNA from 1 species
AGAGUUUGAUCCUGGCUCAGGAUGAACGCUAGCUACAGGCUUAACACAUGCAAGUCGAGGGGCAGCAUUUUAGUUUGCUUGCAAACUAAAGAUGGCGACCGGCGCACGGGUGAGUAACACGUAUCCAACCUGCCGAUAACUCGGGGAUAGCCCUUCGAAAGAAAGAUUAAUAUCCGAUAGUAUAUUAAAACCGCAUGGUUUUACUAUUAAAGAAUUUCGGUUAUCGAUGGGGAUGCGUUCCAUUAGUUUGUUGGCGGGGUAACGGCCCACCAAGGCGACGAUCAGUAGGGGUUCUGAGAGGAAGGCCCCCCACAUUGGAACUGAGACACGGUCCAAACUCCUACGGGAGGCAGCA